CACCUCCUAUUUUGAUCACAUGACGAUGUUUGCGGCACAUUUUGAGGUCACGUGGAUACAUUUGGGUUCCAUCCAGCACAUAUCUUGCUGAGUAACGUUAGCUAGUCUUUUCGGGCUGUCCGACUUUUACUUUACCUCCUGCAAAAUGUCCAAACUACAGUUGUUGAAUGUGUUUCUUACCAAGCGACUAACCGCGGCUGCUGUGGAGAUAUAUGAGGAAGUGGAAAAAACCAUAACAGAAUACGAGAACGAAAUGUCCAGUUCAAAGGAGGAGAUCAAGCGUUUACGGCGGCUACUGGAUUUGGUUUUCAAUCCCGAGAUAAAAUUACAUCGAGCAGACCUACAUCAGCUCUAUCUCCCAGAUGAGGUUUCUCCUGAGCAGCAGCACUGUGAGCAGGGGUGGAGCCCCAGUCUGAAGCAAGAGGACCCAGAGCCCUCACAGAUUAAAGAGGAACAUGAAGUCUGGACUAGUCAGGGGGGAGAACAGCUUAAAGAGCUAGAGUCUGAUACCAAGGAGUUCAUAUUCACUCCCUCUGUGGAAAAUCUGGAACCACCUCAGACCUCACAUCUUUUCCAAAUGCAAAUUGUGCUUUCACCUACCAGUACAACUAAAGAGAUCAAGAUGAAACCAUGUCACAUUGGUGAAAACUCUUCUUGUCAUGUUUGUGGUAAAUGUUUUGACUGUAAAUCUGGUCUGGAAAGGCAUAUGAGGGCUCAUACUGGCGAAAAACCUUAUUGCUGCAGUGAAUGUGGCAAAUGCUAUAGUCAGAUAGGAAAUCUGAAAGUGCAUAUGAGGGGGCACACAGGGGAGAGAUCAUACAGAUGCUUUUUGUGUGGAGAAUACUUCAUCACAGCAUCCCAAUUAAAAUCACAUAAAAUCACUCACACGCAGGGGAGUAAUAUAAUCCCGGGGACAUCCAAAAGCAAAUCUCGUUUGUAUGCUGGUAACAGUCGUGAGACUAGGGAGGGACCGUAUCAGUGCAAGGAAUGUGUUAAAUCCUUCAGGCAGAAGAGGAACCUGUUACGGCAUAUGAGAAAUCACACAGGAGCAAUUAAUGCAGCAAAUGCUUCAACUGGAGUGGAACAUUUUUUUAUUACAUGAUUUACACAGAGGAGAAAAUGUAUUUUGUGUCCUAAUGCUCCAGCAACGAAUUCAAACAAGUGAAAUCCACAUCAGUGCAAGGACUUCAGGAAAUGGUUUAGAAAGUUUGGAUUCGGAUAUCUUGAAAAUUAAAGGAGAAGGAAACAUGGGAGGAAACAUGAACGUGUCAUUUGGAUCAGUAGGGGUUGACUAAUGGACUUGUAGAACAUCAAAUUAUUUCAUUACAUUUAUCACAUUUGUUGUUUUUGGCGAAGAUAUUUAGGAUUUGUAAGCACCCUCAAACUUUUAUGAAUAAAAGUUGUACAGCUGUAUUCUAGAAUAUGGUGUGUUAAAAUUCACCAUUGAAUCUAACAUUUUGAACCUGGGGGAUUGACUGAGAAUGUGAUCCUCUCAUCUAAAUUGAUAAUGCGUUUCUGCAAACUCUAUUAUCCUCUGCGGGUUGCGAGGCAGAUGUUUUUACAGAUGCUCUUAAACAUGACUGGCAUACGACAGUCUUUUCUGGGACAAACAUUACUGUGUUAAAAACAAAUGUAUAUUUUAAUAAAGAUGUGUUUUAAAUGGA